CCUACGGGUGGCAGCAGUGAGGAAUAUUGGUCUCUGGACGAGAGUCUGAACCAGCCAAGUAGCGUGAAGGAUGACUGCCCUAUGGGUUGUAAACUUCUUUUAUAUGGGAAUAAAAUGUUCCACGUGUGGGAUUUUGUAUGUACCAUAUGAAUAAGGAUCGGCUAACUCCGUGCCAGCAGCCGCGGUAAUACGGAGGAUCCGAGCGUUAUCCGGAUUUAUUGGGUUUAAAGGGAGCGUAGGUGGAUUGUUAAGUCAGUUGUGAAAGUUUGCGGCUCAACCGUAAAAUUGCAGUUGAAACUGGCAGUCUUGAGUACAGUAGAGGUGGGCGGAAUUCGUGGUGUAGCGGUGAAAUGCUUAGAUAUCACGAAGAACUCCGAUUGCGAAGGCAGUUCACUGGACUGCAACUGACACUGAGGCUCGAAAGUGUGGGUAUCAAACAGGAUUAGAUACCCGGGUAGUC
rnacentral:rRNA from 1 species